rnacentral:rRNA from 1 species
GGUGAACGCUGGCGGCGUGCCUAAUACAUGCAAGUCGAGCGAACAGACGAGGAGCUUGCUCCUCUGACGUUAGCGGCGGACGGGUGAGUAACACGUGGAUAACCUACCUAUAAGACUGGGAUAACUUCGGGAAACCGGAGCUAAUGCCGGAUAAUAUAUUGAACCGCAUGGUUCAAUAGUGAAAGACGGUUUUGCUGUCACUUAUAGAUGGAUCCGCGCCGCAUUAGCUAGUUGGUAAGGUAACGGCUUACCAAGGCAACGAUGCGUAGCCGACCUGAGAGGGUGAUCGGCCACACUGGAACUGAGACACGGUCCAGACUCCUACGGGAGGCAGCAGUAGGGAAUCUUCCGCAAUGGGCGAAAGCUUGACGGAGCAACGCCGCGUGAGUGAUGAAGGUCUUCGGAUCGUAAAACUCUGUUAUUAGGGAAGAACAAAUGUGUAAGUAACUAUGCACGUCUUGACGGUACCUAAUCAGAAAGCCACGGCUAACUACGUG